UACGGGGGGGGCAAGCGUUGUUCGGAAUUACUGGGCGUAAAGGGCGUGUAGGCGGCCAACUAAGUCCGACGUGAAAUCCCCAGGCUUAACCUGGGAACUGCGUCGGAUACUGGAUGGCUUGAAUCCGGGAGAGGGAUGCAGAAUUCCAGGUGUAGCGGUGAAAUGCGUAGAUAUCUGGAGGAAUACCGGUGGCGAAGGCGGCAUCCUGGACCGGCACUGACGCUGAAGCGCGAAAGCUAGGGGAGCAAACGGG
rnacentral:rRNA from 1 species